rnacentral:rRNA from 1 species
AGCGAACGCUGGCGGCAGGCCUAACACAUGCGAGUCGAACGAACCUUUCGGGGUUAGUGGCGGAUGGGGGAGUAACACGUGGGAACGUGCCGUUAGGCUCGGGAUAAUUCAGGGAAACUGGUGCUAAUACCGAAUGUGUCCUGCGGGGGAAAGAUUAAUCGCCCUUAGGGCGGCCCGCGUCCGAUUAACCAGUUGGUUGUGGUAAUGGCGCACCAAGGCGACGAUCAGUAGCGGGUCUGGGAGGAUGAUCGGCCACAUUGGGACUGAGACACGGCCCAAACUCCUACGGGAGGCAGCAGUGGGUAAUCUUGCGCAAUCGGCGAAAGCCUGACGCAGCCAUGCCUCGUGAAUGAUGAUGGUCUUAGGAUUGUAAAAUUCUUUCACCGGGGACGAUAAUGACGGUACCCGGAGAAGAAGCCCCGGCUAACUUCGUG